GACGAACGCUGGCGGCGUGCUUAACACAUGCAAGUCGAACGGAAAGGCCCUGCUUGCUGGGUCCUCGAGUGGCGAACGGGUGAGUAACACUUGGGUGAACUGCCCUGCACUUUGGGAUAAGCCUGGGAAACUGGGUCUAUUACCGGAUAGGAGCCACUACUAGCGGGUGGGUUGGAAAGUUUUUUCGGUGUAGGAUGAGCUCGCGGGCUAUCAGCUUGUUGGUGGGGUAAUGGCGUACCAAGGCGGCGACGGGUAGCCGGCCAGAGAGGGUGGACGGCCACCUUGGUACUGAGAGACGGCCCAGACUCCUACGGGAGGCAGCAGUGGGGAAUAUUGCACAAUGGGCGCACGCCUGAUGCAGCGACGCCGCGUGGGGGAUGACGGCCUUCGGGUUGUAAACUCCUUUCGCUAGGGACGAAGCUUUUGUGACGGUACCUAGAGAAGAAGCACCGGCUAACUACGUG
rnacentral:rRNA from 1 species